AUCUCUAAUCCUUUCGUAUUCAAUUGAGGUCAAUUUUAGCUUAAAUUGAAUCUAAUUUGGCUCAACUUUAAAGCCAAAUUCAAUUUCAAUUGAUGCAAAGUUUAACCCAACUCAAUGACCUGACUCUUGACUCAUGACCCAAUUAAAUUCCAUCUCUUAAUCACAGUCAUUGAUUCCUAAGAUGGACGAUUGAGAUUAAAAGACGUUUCUCUUUCCUCUUAAUGACCAAAUUGCCACAACGGCCGCCUCUUAAAAAUCAGAAAAACGGCCGCCUCCCUUCCACAUUUCUUUUCCUAUCUCUCUCAUUCUCCCCCAACCAGUCACGUCACCACCGGUGAACCGACGCCGGUGGACCAUCCAACACCGGCGCCGCCUCCUUCGCUCUCUGCCCAGCCGCCUCCUUCUCUCUCUGCCCAGCCGCCUCUCUCUCUUUUUCUCUUUAAACCCGACAGCGCCACCGUCCUCAUCACCGACAAACCCACUGCCGAUGGGCACAAUCAGUCCGCCGUCGCGAACCACCCCACCGGUGAGCCAGCCAGCGACCCAACGGUCCUACACUCUUCCUUCUCCUCCGGGGAAUCCCAUUUUACCGCCGCUGCACAACAGCCAAAGCAGCCGCCAUAGCAGCCGCCUUUCACCAGCGACGCCAACCAGUCCGCCGAACCAACGAAAAUCAGCCUCAAAACCAGCUGCCGCCACCCUCCUCACCCUCACACUGCCGCUCCAAGUUUCGGUCAAAUAUCACCGGAAAAUAUUGAAGUUUACGAUGGAUUCUCCAAAUUCGUCUCAAAUUUGUUUCUCUAUUUAAAUUUAUGCCAAUUUAUUAUUAGAUAAAUUGAUUAAUAGAUUUGAAAUAGAUGAAAUUUGGCUAUGUCUUGACUCGAUUUGUUCUAUUUCGUGUUUAUUUGACACCGUUGAAUUUACAUAUGUGAAAGCCCUGAAUUCUAUCAACCUAACCAUAAUUCUUUUCUUCAUGAGUACUAAUUUUAUUCUAUUUUGAUAUUCAUGUUUCCUUGGACGUUAAUUGAAAUGGUUGUUCAUGUGCAAACUUUAUUUAUUAGGAUAUAGAAUGGCUACUUUUCUCGGCUCCAUUUGAUUCACGAUAGUUUUAAUGUGAUAAAAAUAAUUAUUUAUAGAUUCUUCUGCGGUA
rnacentral:lncRNA from 1 species